CCUACGGGAGGCAGCAGUGAGGAAUAUCGGUCAAUGGACGCAAGUCUGAACCAGCCAUGCCGCGUGCAGGAUGACGGCUCUAUGAGUUGUAAACUGCUUUUGUACGAGGGUAAACCCCGAUACGUGUAUCGGGUUGAAAGUAUCGUACGAAUAAGGAUCGGCUAACUCCGUGCCAGCAGCCGCGGUAAUACGGAGGAUCCGAGCGUUAUCCGGAUUUAUUGGGUUUAAAGGGUGCGUAGGCGGUUUGAUAAGUUAGAGGUGAAAUGUCGGGGCUCAACCCCGAAACUGCCUCUAAUACUGUUGGACUAGAGAAUAGUUGCGGUAGGCGGAAUGUAUGGUGUAGCGGUGAAAGGCUUAGAGAUCAUACAGAACACCGAUUGCGAAGGCAGCUUACCAAACUAUAUCUGACGUUGAGGCACGAAAGCGUGGGUAGCAAACAGGAUUAGAUACCCCUCUAGUC
rnacentral:rRNA from 1 species